UUUUUUCUUUGUGUAGCAUUUUUUUUUUUGCUUAAGAGUAAUCUUUGCAAAUAUUUUAAAGAAAUUGACAUCUUUAAAGCAAAUACACUUACCCUUCCUUAGGAUUUAAGAUGCUUCACCUUAUCCAUUGUUGUCAGUUUUUACUUUCAAUGCAUUAAAAAUAGAUUUAAAAAAAGAUUUAUUUAUUGUUAUAUGUAAGUACACUGUAGCUGUCUUCAGACACACCAGAAGAGGGUGUCAGAUCCCAUUACAGAUGGUUGUGAGCCACCUUGUGGAUGCUGGGAUUUGAAUUUAGGACCUCUGGAAGAGCAGUCAGUGCUCUUAACUGCUGAGCUAUCUCUCCAGCCCCAAGAAUAGAAAUUUUAAGGCUUUGUAUGUUCCUGUAAUCUACAAUGUGAGUAAAUAUGCAGUCUAAGAAAUUGUAUUAUCCAUACUGAAAAGAGUAAAAGGGAAAUUAAUGUUUUUUUCUUACCUCGGUGUAUUUAAAAUAUUAACAACAUCCAAUCAACAUAAAAACCAUUGUGUUAUUUUUUUAUGUGUCUAUUUAAUUUUAUACUUUUGGUGGUCCUGGGGGUUGAACUCAAGGGACAGAUGUGCACUAAAAAUGAGUUUGUGUCUUUUGUUCAUAACCAUAUUCUGCAAGGAUUAUGUGUGUUUCAAGGACUAAGUGGUUGCAUAAGGCUAAUGUGUACUGUUUUGUGCAGAUCAUGUCUAUCUAUAGAGUCAGAAUAAAUUCUUAGUGUCUUCAUAGGUGGACAGAAAAAAGACAGUCACUUUAUAUGAUCUUUCAGGAAUGUAAUAGCUUGUUACCAAAACCAAAAAAUAUGAUAACUAUAACUACUGAAACUAACUUACUGACCUACCUACGUUCCUUCCUCCCUCCCCCCCCCCUCUCAGCCCAUUUGCUGGGAAAAUGAAAUAAUUUGAAAUACUGGAUAUAAUUUUACUUUUUAGUUGCUCAUAAUACCCAAGUUAAAUAAUUUCAUUAUUUUUCCUCUUUGUAUAUAUUUACACAUUUGUGUUUCCACGAAAUUUCAGUAAAUGUUCAUAAUCUUUAGCAUAAAUGCAGUUCCACCUACAACGAAGAUUUCGUGCUGCAGCUGGAGAAGGAAUUGGUUCAAGCCAGACUGAGUGAAGCCGAGUCUCAGUGUGCACUGAAGGAGAUGCAGGAUAAAGUGUUGGAUAUAGAGAAGGUAAGAGACUCCAUAAGUAGUACCUGCUUCUAAAUCUGAGGGAGAUGUGCUAGAUACUUGUUAAGUACUAAUUAAAGAGUUGAAUUGAUGUUUUUUACACAUGAGGAACUAUGAGUAUUAGUUAUUGAAUCAGCAAAUAAGGAAAUGUUGCUAGCUGGCAUGGUGCCUCCUAGAAUGCAUGAGGUCCUGGGUUCACCCUGCAGCACACAAAGCCAGGUAUGGGGCACACACUUCUGAUGUGGAGGGAAGCUCAAGGUCAGUCUUGACUACCUGGUUAGUUGGAGGUCAGCUGGUGUGCAUGAGCCCCGGUCUAAAGAGAGAGUGGAUAGGCAGAAAAUAAACAGAACCUUAAGGCUCCCAAUUCAGAAAAUCCUUUACUGUGUCAGUGGGUUCAGGGUUAUUCUCUUCUCCUCUUCCAUCUGAUUCAGGGUAUCUGGUCUUUACAUUGAGGACUUGGUCCAUUUGGGGUUGAGUUUUGUGCAGUGAUAAAUAUGGAUCUAUUUGCAUCUUUCUUUAAGCAGCCAUUCAGUGAUCAACGGUUUGUUGAAGAUGCUCUUUUCUCCGAUGUGCAAUUUUGGAUUAUUAAAAAGCAGGCAUCCAUAGGUGUGCAGACUUGUAUCUGGAGCUCCCCUUGGAGUCUGCUGACUCAGCUGGUUUAGUUGGUCAAUGUGUCUGCUUUCUUGUCAGCACUGGGCUACUUUUCCUAUUACAGCCGAGUAGUCACCUUCACCUCUAGCAGCUCGUCCGUUAUGCAGUCUUGCUUCAGCUACUCCAGGACUUUUGUGUUCCCAUACAAAACUGAAGAUUGAUUUUCCAUUUCUCUGGAGAAUCGUGUUGGGAUUUUAAUGGGAAUUACAUUGAAUUUGUAGAUUGCUCUUGGUAGGAUGUCCACUUUUACUAUAUUAAUUCUACCAUUCCAUGAGCAUGAGAGAUCAUGUCAUCUUCUGAGGUCUUCAGUUAAGUGUGCCAGUUCUCUUUGUUACUUUGAUACAACUCCAUGUUCCAUAUUUAAGAAUAUGAAUAGAGAUGUGUUCUAUCCCCAGAAUCUGCAUGGUAGAAGGAGAGAGGACUAGUGCCUACAGCUUAUUCUCCAGCCUCCACACAUGUAUACAUGUAAAAAAACAGGAAUACACAACUAAUUUUUAAAAAAUCUCAAAUUUUUCUGACUUUAGAAGAACAACUCAUUUCCUGAUGAGAAUAAUAUUGCAAGGCUUCAGGAGGAACUCAUCGCUGUGAAGCUGAGGGAAGCCGAAGCCAUUAUGGGUUUGAAAGAACUUCGACAGCAAGUCAGAACCUUAGAAGAGCACUGGCAGGUAUGUCAGGCCUGACGUGCUUUCUGAAAGGAACUAAAACCGAUGCACUUAGUUUGUGUGAAUUUGAAAUAGCUGGUAAUGAAGAAUCUUGCUUUGUGUCACGAUUGAGACACCCCCAAAUCCUCCCAGACACAUCCUUUGCCUUCCUUCCCACCUUUAGGUCCUCCUUUUCCUAAACUCACUAGUACAGUUUGUGCUGCCCAGAUACUUAUGGUUAUAGGGUCAUCCAUUUGAGUAUGAUUAAUCUACUAGGAGCCACAUUUUUUCUUUUUCUUUUUCUUUUUCUUUUUCUUUUUCUUUUUCUUUUUCUUUUUCUUUUUCUUUUUCUUUUUCUUUUUCUUUUCCUUUUUUUUUUUUUUUUUUUUUUUGAGACAGGGAUCUCUGUGUAGCCCUGGCUGUCCUGGAACUCACUCUGUAGACCAGGCUGUCCUUGAACUCAGAAAUCUGCCUGCCUCUGCCUCCCAAGUUUUGGGAUUAAAGGUGUGUACCACCACUGCCCAACUGAGGGGCCACAUUCUUAAAGAAAACUGAUGCUGCCUUAUCCAGGAGCAACUGUCAGGAGCUCAAGAACUUGGCCUGCUUCAUGCUGGAAUGCUCUCUGGCUUGAUUAUUAUACAGCUGCUGAGAGCUCAGGAGUGCAGUGGUCCUGUGACUCCCAGAAGACACUGCUGUGCCCCAGUCUUCCCCAAUCACUGGCUUUAGGCUUUUCCAUCCUCUCUGACAGUGGUCCCCAGGUCUUGCUGGCAGGAAGUGUGACACAGAUGCCUCCUUUAUGGCUGAGCUGUCCAUGUGAACUUGUUCUCUGCACUUUGAUCACUUGCCAGCUUCUGUGUUAGCUACAGCCCACUGCACGGGGAAAUUUGUCUGAUGAAUUGCAGUAACUUAUGGUAUAGAAAUGGAAUUUAUAUUUUUGGUUGUGAACCUAGCCUUUAACUGCUGAGCCAUCUCUCCAGCCCUAGAAAUGGAACUCAGAGGGCAAGUUGAUAGUCUAUUCAUUUAUCAACCAAAGAUUUUCUUUACUAUUUGGAAAGUGUGAAACACCUGAAGGGGACGCCAAUGAUAUAUGUACAUUUUUAACUUCUUUUGAAAAUGCUUGUGACAAAAUAAAUGCUGCUUUAGGUAUAUUCCCACAAAUGUAUCUACUUGUGAGAGAAAUUAGGGAAAGAGCAAAAUGUAGCAAUCUGUAAGACAGAGAGGAAUGAGUUUUUAAAAAGUAGGUACUGGGGUGGUGAAGCGCACACCUUUAAUUCCAGCACUUAGGAGCAGUCAGAUUUCUGAGUUUGAGGCCAGACUGGUCUACAGAGUGACUUCCAGGACAGCCAGGGCUACACAGAGAAACCCUGUCUUCAACCCCCCCCCCC
rnacentral:lncRNA from 1 species